rnacentral:rRNA from 1 species
AACGAACGCUGGCGGCAGGCUUAACACAUGCAAGUCGAGCGCCCUGCAAGGGGAGCGGCAGACGGGUGAGUAACGCGUGGGAACAUACCCUUUGGUUCGGAAUAACUCAGGGAAACUUGAGCUAAUACCGGAUACGUCCGUAAGGAGAAAGAUUUAUCGCCAAAGGAUUGGCCCGCGUCCGAUUAGCUAGUUGGUGAGGUAACGGCUCACCAAGGCUACGAUCGGUAGCUGGUCUGAGAGGAUGAUCAACCACAUUGGGACUGAGACACGGCCCAAACUCCUACGGGAGGCAGCAGUGGGGAAUAUUGGACAAUGGGCGCAAGCCUGAUCCAGCCAUGCCGCGUGAGUGAUGAAGGCCUUAGGGUUGUAAAGCUCUUUGUCCGGGAAGAUAAUGACUGUACCGGAAGAAUAAGCCCCGGCUAACUUCGUGCCAGCAGCCGCGGUAAAGUGACUACUG